GGAGGCGGGGCCCCUACGUCCGGUGUCCAGCGGGGAAGGCAACGCCUUCCGCGAGGCUCGAUUCACGGUGCAGGCGACGGAGGCCUACUCGCGUCGAGUAUCGGCGGAUCGCGCC
rnacentral:SRP_RNA from 14 species